UACGAAGGGGGCUAGCGUUGCUCGGAAUCACUGGGCGUAAAGGGUGCGUAGGCGGGUCUUUAAGUCAGGGGUGAAAUCCUGGAGCUCAACUCCAGAACUGCCUUUGAUACUGAAGAUCUUGAGUUCGGGAGAGGUGAGUGGAACUGCGAGUGUAGAGGUGAAAUUCGUAGAUAUUCGCAAGAACACCAGUGGCGAAAGCGGCUACCUGGCCCAUUCUUGACGCUGAGGCGCGAAAGCUAGGGGAGCAAACGGG
rnacentral:rRNA from 1 species